rnacentral:rRNA from 1 species
AUUGAACGCUGGCGGCAUGCUUUACACAUGCAAGUCGAACGGUAACAGGCCGCAAGGUGCUGGCGAGUGGCGAACGGGUGAGUAAUGCAUCGGAACGUGCCCAGUCGUGGGGGAUAACGCAGCGAAAGCUGCGCUAAUACCGCAUACGAUCUAUGGAUGAAAGCGGGGGACCGUAAGGCCUCGCGCGAUUGGAGCGGCCGAUGUCAGAUUAGGUAGUUGGUGGGGUAAAGGCUCACCAAGCCGACGAUCUGUAGCUGGUCUGAGAGGACGACCAGCCACACUGGGACUGGGACACGGCCCAGACUCCUACGGGAGGCAGCAGUGGGGAAUUUUGGACAAUGGGCGCAAGCCUGAUCCAGCAAUGCCGCGUGCAGGAAGAAGGCCUUCGGGUUGUAAACUGCUUUUGUACGGAACGAAACGGUCUGGGUUAAUACCCUGGGCUAAUGACGGUACCGUAAGAAUAAGCACCGGCUAACUACGUGCCAGCCGCCGCCGUAAAAC